UCGCUAGUAAUCGCGGAUCAGCACGCCGCGGUGAAUACGUUCCCGGGCCUUGUACACACCGCCCGUCACACCAUGGAAGUCUGCAAUGCCCGAAGCCGGUGGCCUAACCACUUAUGUGGAAGGAGCCGUCUAAGGCAGGGCAGAUGACUGGGGUGAAGUCGUAACAAGGUAUC
rnacentral:rRNA from 1 species